UACGAAGGGGGGCGAGCGUUGUUCGGAAUUACUGGGCGUAAAGGGCGCGUAGGCGGCCCCCUUUUGUCGCGUGUGAAAGCCCCCGGGCUCAACCUGGGAACGGCGCGCGAAACGGGGGGGCUUGAGUUCGGGAGAGGAGCGUGGAAUUCCCCAGUGUCAGAGGUGAAAUUCGUGGAUAUUGGGAAGAACACCGGUGGGCGAAGGCGGCAUCCUGGACCAUUACUGACACUGAAAAGCGAAAGCCAGGGGAGCAAACGGG
rnacentral:rRNA from 1 species